rnacentral:lncRNA from 1 species
AGUUAUCUUGGGAUAUUUUCACAUGCCCGAAGCCGAUUCUCGGACUCGACAGUUUGCUGCCAUGGCCUUCCUAGCUUUGAGGAGUCUGCCUACAUUCAGAAGACAAUGCGACAUCCUGAGGAAGCCUUGGAGAGAGAUUGCUGCUAGCUGAAGGAGGCAAAUGGAAGCCCUGGCCAUAAGGCUGUUAUUGCGGGCUUUAAAAGAGAAGGCACCUGAUGGAGAUCUUCCCUGCUUCAAAAUGGCUGAGGAGAAGCAGGAUGGCGGAGGUGCGUGUGCCUGCUCUGCUCUACAGGAAACAUUUUCCGCAUGAUGGCAGUGCUGCCCCAGAGCAGGGAAGGUGUCCUGACUACAGCUCUCUGUCCCCGCCUUCACAGUCUGAAAAAAACUCCAAUAAUGGACAGAGUCCAACAACUAUGGCAGCUUUCCUUACCCUUUACCUUCAAAAUGAAGAAGAUUCAUCUAUGGGAGAGUUUACCUCCCAUUUUCAUUUCAAGGUAGCGACUCAGCCAGAGCAUCCAUCUGUAUCUUCACCAGAAUCCACCACCAAAUCCAGAAGAAUAAACUCUGCUGUAAGAAGGAAAUUGCCUGGAAUUUAUGAUCUAAGCAGGAAGGAAAGAGAAGGAUGGAGGAGCUUUGAGGCACCCACCUUCCUCAUGCAGCACUGAAGAUAUCAGUGAGUGGCUGCUCAAUGAUCAAGUCUAGUCUCUUCUUCACCCAGCAGCAGUCUUCUACCCCAGUGCUUGUGGUAUGGAAGUUAAAUCUUCUGGUCCAGUUCUAGGUAGGAAAGAAAAUGUUGCCAAGUCAGGGUCUGGAGAAGAUCAAACCUAGGAACCCGGCAACAUGGGUCUCUGCCUGAUUCCCUUCACAGACUCCCUGGUCACCUUACCCCAUCCUUUCUUACACAACUGGCCUUGGGGGGAUGUCCAGCCAAUCUGACUACCUGCCUGUAAUGAUGAUCUAGGUAGGUCUCAGGAGUUAAUGCUCUAUAGCAUUUGGGGUGACAAAGCUAUGGAAAUCACUAUAACUCCCAAUCACAUAGAUCAUGGAGUAUGUUUGACCUUUAAACAAAAGUGAACAUUCAAUAAAUCUGUGUUUAAACUGUAA